AAAGACAAGGAGGAGGUGACGAUAGGCGGAAGGGACCAAUAGCAGCGAGCGACCGGGUGACCUGUGCUGCCCGCAGUGGAGGUGUGCGCGUCGGGCGGGGCCGCUCAGGCCUCCCGGUGCCACACCGGCGGGUCGGGUCGGGUCGGGUCGGGUCGGGUCGCGCCGCGCCGCGCCAGCGAGGCCUGCCGAGCCCCGGCGGCGGCGACGGGGGCAGCGGUGGGGGACUUCCGCGAGUGCGCGCCAUGGCGGCCAACGAGGACCAGGAGAUGGAGCUGGAAGCGCUGCGCUCCAUCUACGAGGGAGAUGUGUGCUUCAGGGAGCUGAGCCCGGUGUCCUUCCAGUACAGGAUAGGUGAAAGUGGAGAUCCCAAAGCUUUUCUAAUAGAAGUUUCUUGGCCGGAAACAUACCCACAAACAGCACCAGUCAUAUCAAUGGAUGCUUUCUUCAACAACACAAUAUCUUCAGCUAUUAAACAGAGUAUAUUGGAUAAGUUGAUGGUAGAAGUUGAAGCGAAUCUUGGGACUGCUAUGACAUACACACUUUUUGAAUAUGCCAAAGAUAAUAAAGAGGUGUUCAUGGAAAAUCAGCCUGUUAACACUGUGACUUCAGUAAGCAAUAGUAUUGCAAUUGGAACUCCUGAUGUGCCAGCAAGUAAGAAAAAAGAUAAAAAGGAGCAUUUAUCCAAAACCCAGAAACGAAAACUAGCCGAUAAAACAGAUAACAAAGGGGAGCUUCCACGAGGAUGGAACUGGGUGGAUGUAAUCAAGCAUACACAAGCCCUACUCUGUUAGAUGCUCUAUCAGUAGCCCCUUGAAGCAGGGGUGGUCGGUGUCUUGCAGGAUGAGGAAAUGGGGAAGAAAUGUAUUCUAUGAGGAGACACAUGCUGAAUAUGAAAAGCAAACACUGAACAUCUUUGGAUAGAUGUUCAGGGAGAAACGAUGACAGAAGCAUUGAAGAAGGUAAAAGAAGCAGGAACACAUUGAGCUCUGGAGCCUUAAGAACAAGGUGUUUAUUACAAACCACUGAGGGAGGAAGGAAGGAAUGUCACCAGAAGAAAGUUAUGCACAGGAGCAAAUACAGAAAUUUUGAUUUGAAGCUGUGAGAUUCCUGUGUACCAAGCAAAUGCACUUUCCACUAUGUGGAGGGAUGGAGACAACUCUACAAUCUAGCUUCAUCUUUCCUGCCAGAUUCUGGAACCUGACCUCAUUAGGCUUAUUUGUGCUAGAACCAGAGGCAGAAAGAAAUGCAUUCCUGGAAGAAUCCUGUUCUAAAUUGUACAAUUACUGUAAAAAAAGAGGUUGUAACUCCACCUGGUGGACCUGAGGUGGGGGCUUCCAGAUGGCAUCAGAAGCGAUCACCACGAUGUUUUACUACAUUUGGAAGUUCUGAAGUGUGAAGAGAUGAGACAUCAAACAUUUGUUAUUUUGUUGGGCGAAAGCUUGAUGAUCCUGUCAUCCCAGGAAUAUUAUGAAAGAAAAACUCAGAAUUAAUUAAAGGCAUAACUGGAAGAAUGAAAAUAGCUGAAAUGAUGCAAAAGCAGAAAAUGUUAAGUGUGGCAUCUCAUGGGGAAUAAAAAGAGACAGUUCUGACUGAAAAAGGAGUGCAGACAGAUGAUAGUCGGGCAGGUGUUACCCAACACAUUUUGGGAACUGGCAAAUCAUCGGAAGAAAAUAUAACUGGAAUUCACUUCAACAGAGAAUCAGACUCAAACAUUUCAGAUGUGCAGCAUUUGUUUUAUGUGUCUUCAUUCCUCAAGCCUCCGAAUGUGACAAAGAACGGCAGCUUCUUAACCAGUGCUACAGACAGGAUGCAAAUUUUAUUUCAAGUAUUUACAAACCGCAGCCUGCCAGGUUAGUGCUGAGUUCCUUCUGUUCACAAGUUGUUUGGUAAAGGAAUAAAUGUGGUUUUCCUUCCAAUCCAUUAAGGAGCUGGAUUUAUUGUUCAUUAGUAUGAAAGUGGUUCACUUCUUUAAGCACUGGAAGUCUUAUUGCUAAGCACUUGCAUGAAAGAAAUACUAAGUCUGAAGAGUUUCCUUCAAUGUUAUAUCCCACAAAUGAAUAGUAUCUUUAUUUAAAUAAGCAGCAGUGCUUUUCUCAUUACAGUACAAAGUGCAGUAGUAGAAGGUAUCAUCUGAAGGAAAUUUUUCCCCCAAAUCUCUAUUAAUGAUGCUGAUAACCCUGCCAUCAAAUAGGCAUGAGAGAUUUUACCUCUGUCACGUUAAGGAGGUCUUUUCCCUCCAUAAGGGGGAAGAUUUCACACCUUCACCUGUAAGUUUGAUGGGUUUGUUACCAUCCCAGGAAAGAUGAGAUCCUUGAGCACAAUGAUCCUGUCAGAGCGCCUGCAGGCGCUCCACCAGGCAGUGCACUGUAUUGGAGUGUAUUCAGCACACACAAUAGCGGAUUCACCCACCAAAUCAAAAAAAGGUUUUACGUAAGAUUUUAAGACAAUCUUAAGUCAAUUUGAGUUUCUGGAGGCUCACACAAAAUAGAUCUUAACUGAGAAUUUUUUGUAUAUAAUUUCAUGAUUAUUUUCAUGAACAUUUUAAGGUUAAAAAAUUGCCGGUAACGAUACAGUAUCCUAACUGCGAGAACAAGCGUGAAAAUAAUACAUAAAGCCAGAAAAAAUCAAUCCUGAAGUGUGAUUAGGCUUUUACCCAAUAGGCAUCCCUGUGGUGGGGAGAAGAUAGGUUCAGUCCAUUGACCAAUCCCAGCAGUUACAAUGGAGUCUUACCUAAUUCCCUCCUGCCCCCCACGUUGCAUAUUCAUACGAUCUAAUUUGAAUUAGUAACUCCCCAUAACUCUGUCCUUUUACCAGUUGGUCAUCUAACUUGCAUAAGGAUUACAUAAUUAAAUGCCUAACUAGGCAUACUCAGGGGUGUGUCUCUGGACGUGGGCAGGGGCCUUUUGACCUGUGGGUGUCAUUUUUAGCAUUAAAAUGGGAUUGUAAUGAGGAAAGUUCACCAAAAGAACACUUAAUCAUGGUUUCUCACUCACAAAAACCAUAUUUUGGUGAUUGGUUUAGUUUUGUGAGGAAGUAGCAGACUUCAAGGAUAGUCUUUCUUGAUUAGAGGUUCGUUAAUCUUAUUUUUCUGUCUUAUUUUCCUCAAUUCUGUUUUUCUCAGUUCUGUUUUCCCUCAGUAUUGUUUUUCUGUCUGCCUACAAGGCCAAAGCCUCUCCAGCUAUCAGUUCUCAUGGUAAAUAACUGUUGUUUCUCAGGUCUCCUUACCCUUUAAGAGGCCCUUGUAUCUAUUCAGGCUCUUUGCAAGUCUUAUUUUUGUAAUUAAAUGUCUAUGGAAUGUUAACUAUAUAUGAUUAUGGAUCUUAAACUAAACAUGGGGCUUGAGCAUGUGCCUGUGGAGCUUGAGUGGCUCUAGUCAUACAUAUUUUUGGUGUGAAAUUCUCUCACUUUACAAUCCUUGUUUGUCAGCUGCUAGGUGGUUUAUCAGUAGUGGCGUUAUCUUCACAUUCCUGCAUCUGCAGGGAGUAAACCUGGGCCUGGCUGUGGUGUCUUCACUCCGCUUCUCUCUCCACAAGAGGUUGAUCAAGGAUUCAAGAUUCAGAGCUGUCCACUUACUGCUUCAACAGAAAGACCUGUGACUUAGAAUGCGACCUGUCAAGCGUGCAGUCUUGAAUAUGUUUUGACACCCACCUUGUGAAAACAGAAGUUAAUAAAAGUAAGUAUGAAGCACAUCAGAACAUCAUAGAAAGCAUACAUGCACAGGUAUAUCUACCAUCACUUUCCUUUCUUCACCUCUGCCAUGCCUCUGGGAUGCUGGGCAUUUCUUUUCACUGUGUUCUAGAGCUCUAGACAGGGAAAAAAUGCAGACCACAGUAUGCUUUGUCUUGAGUGUAGCUCUGUAUUUUUAACGGUGCAUGCUAAACCUGUAGUAAUUUUACACUCCUAAGUCAAGUGCCUUCACUCUUUCUUUAAAUACCUUCUCCAAGUUUCCUUCUUUCAGCUUGGUUUUCCCAGUUAGGUGUUUAUUCUGAUGUUCCUUAUCUCUCUCCCUUAAUCACCUUCAAUCUUCUAAGACUUUCUGAAGACCAGUCUUCAGUUUGCUUUGCCUGUUAUCUUAGUUCUCAGUAUUCAGGAAAAGCUAUACAGAGGAGAGUCCAUGUUACUUUAAACCUUUAGAGAGGCAUGCUGAUUUAAAGUAAUAUAGAAGGCUGAGAUGUCAUUCUUAAUUCUCCUUGGAUACCCAGCUUCCUCAGCAAUCCCAUCAGAAACUGUGUGAUUGGCGUGGAAUUAAGGCAAUGUGGAUCAAAAAUCAAAAUCUUAUCAGCAGUUGUUAAUUUAUGUUUAAUUAAAAUCUGUAUCUGCUCAUUUAUUGCAAUUAAUCCUUUGAGUUAGUAACAAACUGAACUGUGUGUUGCUAUUCUGCAGAAGCCAAGAAAAGUAUUAGGUAUGGCCUCUUUUUCUAACUGUAAAAUGAGAUCUAAGUGGACUCAUUCAGCAUUGGGGUUUUAGGCAUGCUUUUCUGUUUUAUGAACUCACAGACAGAACAGUAUAUUGAUCUGUUGAAAAAAAGGUGUAGCACAAGAUGUGAUGUACCUGGGUUUGGCUUCACUUCAUCUUAAUUCUUCCCUUCAAUCCUCAUCUUAGAUCAUCUUUCUUGUCUGUGGGUACGUGCUUUGGGUUUUACAAGUUUGUAAAACAAAAAGUACAUUAUUGAGCACAAACCUGCUCUGUGUUUUCUUCCUACCCAGCCCCCUUUAUGUCCUCUUUUGUAUCUCAGCGAGACGGGUUUGACCAUUGCUUGUCAUGUCCUUCAACAUACUCAGCUCCUUGCAUCUUCCUCUUUUCAGGAUGAAUGUGUCAAGUUGCAGCUUAAAGUUCUGAUCUCAGUUAUAAUCACUACUCAGCUGGGGUAUUUCUGUAUAUUUUAAGAAAAAAGUAGCAACCUGCAUGUUUUGUUUUCUGCUGGUUAUCUUUGCCAGUAGUUGCUGAUCUCCGGAGUGUGCAUUAUCCACCAGGGGGAGCCGAAGCCAAGAACUGUCAGAUUUUCAUAGAAUCUUAGAACCAUUUCAGUUGGAUAAGACCGAGGACAGCAGGAGUGCUGGUCCUUCUGGACAAAUGAGCUUCUUGCGUUUCUCUCUGCACUUGGAAUAAGCCACUCACACAGAAAUAAGUAGAUGUUGAGACAUGUUGAGACAUGUUGAGACAUAACAGCUGAAAGGAGGUAAGGAACAGUUUCUUGUACCAUUUCUAAUUUGUAGUUGACCAUACGAACAUAAACAGUCUUUGGGAAAAUAUGGCAUUGACUUCUUUGUACUACAAAAGGCAGGAAAACUCACACAGUUAAUUAUAGCUGAGCAAUAAUAUACAAAGCUGGUCCUUACUGCCUCCAAGCUGCUUGCUACUUGCUCAGGUCAGUUGUAAUUUUCAGUGCUGUGGUAUCCUUUGACUUCUGCAAAACCAUUAGUCUGUUGGUCAUAAGAAUUAUGAUCCAUGGGAGACGCUGAAACUUCCCUAGGUAACAGUCAAAUUUGCUUUCUACGCCACCAAUUGUGGGUAAAGAGUUAGCAUAUUAGACCUCCAAUGGGAUUUUUAUUUCAAAUUCAAAAUCUUGUCAUACUUAAAAAAUGGUAACAGUCACAUCAAAUAACCUCAAUUUCAGCUCAGGUUUCUGUUCUUUGACAGAUUUUUGUCACAUCCUGCAAAGGAAGGUGGAAGACAGUUUAUAUCAAAUUGCUGUCUAAUAAACUCUUUAUGGUUUCUUCAGUUAGAAGUUGCCUUUUAUACUGGAGCAUAAGGUUUUAAUAGAUUUUUUUUUUUUAAUGUCUGGAUCUUAUCUAACUUACUCAGGGCUCAUUACCCAUAUUUCAGCAUUUCAGAGAGGAGGACUUAUUUCUGUAUUUAUUUUGCUGUCAAUUUACUUAAAUAAUGCCAUAGCUUGUCAGGCUUUUUAACAGGCAUUUUCUAACAUUUCAAUGGGAAUUAAUUUGUCAAAUGUAGUAAAUAAAAAGAGAAAUGUAAGAAUUUAGGAAAGAUUAGCAGGAGACUCAGAGAUUUGAAAACCAAACCUUAAAUUAUGCAUUUUACAACUGUACCUCCUCAGCAGUGGCUGCUGGAUAAAUUGCAGUGCUGUAUGACACAUUGGAUCUGCACUUUAGGAUUUUCUUAAUUAAAGAAAAUAGAAGAGGAGGAAAUCUUACAACUUCUUUUGGAAGGGGAGAUACGUUAAGUUAUAAUUUAUUUCAGAUGCAGUUAAUUAGCUAUAAAAUGACCCUUUUUUAGUUUUCUUGGGUAACUUUUUACAUUUCUAAUUAUUUCUGACAGCUUUUUUCUUCUGUCUCUGCACUCCAUUCCUGCUGCCACUUCAAUUUUUGUUUCAGUUCCUUCUCUCUUUUGGGUUUAUUUUUCUCUCUUGCUUUGUGUGUGGGUGAUACUUUCAUAUUCUCUCUUUUCACGUUUGACUUCCCUUCCUUUCAGAAUUUUAUUGCCUCAUACUUUAUUCUGAUGUUAGGAAAGGGAAAGGAAUAUAUGCCAGCUUCAGUCUCAGGAAAUAUAUUCAGCUCUGUGUUUGAACCUAUACUUCAUUUUUAUUAUUUCAGGGUUCUCAUCUGAUGGACUCAUGCCAUUUGCUGCGUGAAAUACACAUUUCUUCAGCAGAUACUCCUAUACAUAGGGAUUGCUCCACACAUAUCAAGAAAUUCACUGAAAGAUCAUACUCUGUGUGCUUGUAGAGUAGUAGGAAGUACUACCAGUGAGAAUUUAGGAUUAAAAAAAAUCCUCCUCAUAACUCAGUGUCAGCCUUCCCUCGUUGCUCUAUAUUUGAUCUAUAGUCAUUAUAUAAUACAAAUCUGUUAUAAGGGAUUAAUCUUAAGGAUACAUUUUGUAGGUGUGAAUUCCCUCAGCCCUUCAACAACCUAAUAUAUCUCCACUAACUGCUACUCAAGUACUUCUUCCAAACAUAAGUUGAAGGGCGUUCUUUCCAGGGUACGCCAAUGCAGCACGCUGCUUUACACAAUGUUUGUUGAGACUGUCAAACUGAAAUUUCUGAGAACAGGAUUUGUGCUAGUGCAGUGCAGGAGUGUGCUCUCAGUUGGUGCCCUACUCCCAAUAUCAGCUGGGAGUCUGUUAUUCAUUUCUGCUCUGUCUAAAUAUUGUGGUCAUGUAAAAAAAGCUGUAGGUUUUCUAAGGGUGACUAGUCCGCUUUUAUAGAAUAUAAUGGUAGGAAAGGAUUGUCAUAAUUACUUAUGGAGUAUCUUGGACAAGAUUUGAAUAGUGAGGUUUAGGAGAAGUCCAGUGUCUGCACUCGCAUUGACUUGAUUUUCAAAUGGCGCUGGCAAUAUUCUGUAUCAAAGACAGAAAUAGUUUGCAAAGGCAAAUCCAGCUGUAAGGAGUUAAGACAAAGUGCUAGAAAGAAAAUUGAUGAAAGAGGAAGGAAGCAAUAGACCAUACAUGAAAGAGAUUAUAAAGAGAAUAAUCCAAAGUGUGUGCUGAUGUCCCGUGUUUGAUCACUGGUAUGUCUGAAGGGUUCAAAAGCUAAAUUUGCAGACAGUAAUGACAUUGGGAGCACAGCAAAUUAUAGUGUAUGCUACAUCUAGAUUCAGUGCAAGCAGAGAUGGGGGCAAAAUAUUUCAAAAGAAGCAAAAUCAAACCACAUUAAAAAUCCCAAGUACUGUACAUGACAAUCCUUUUUAGCAUUAAAAUUUUCAGUUAACUUGUAUAUUUGGCAAACUCAUUGGGUUUUAUUCCGGAAUUGUCACUGCCAGAGCAGCAAGAUUGCCCUUCCGAUCCACCCCUAGUCAUAUCAUUGUUGGUAUAAAAGUCCAAAUCAGGCUGCAUCAGCGUGUCUGGAGUUUGCUCUGUACCUUGCUUGUACAGUUGGUUCUGACAGUAUAGACUGGGUUGCGCAUACGCACCUGCAAACAAUUCAGUCUUCCUUGAACAUGCACUUAGUUUUCAGGAUUAAUUUCAUAGUGUGACAGAAUAAGGCUACAGAUAUGUUUUCUCUGUUUCAGUUGACUCUUCUGUUGUACAGGAAUAGAAAAGAAGCCAUGGUGUUCAGUGCUAGCAAAGGCGAUGUGGUUGUUAAGGUGAUAUGUCGAAACUGUGGUGGUUGUGCAGGGAGAAGCUGUAAUGAAUGACUACUGCCUUGUGAUCUAGGUAAUGAAAGUUUAGAAACUAUGUUCUUGCUUUGCCAGUAAAGGAAGUUGUGCGCCAUUUUUUAAAACAUUUGGGUGGCCCGUGAGGUCUUCAAGAGCAUCUCUUCUAAGUUCUUCUGGAGUUUUUGAAAAUCACGCUGGCAGCCUUCUAACAACUUCAAGUGCCUAAUUCCUCCUAAAAAUCCAGGCAGUUACCCCUAACUUUUUCAUCCAGCUGUGUUCCAUCUGAAGGCAGGAGGCUUCAGUUCCUUCAUGUCUCCUUUAAACCACGUAGAUUCAGGUACCUGCAUCCUACCAUGCCUGGCAGCUGCUCCAAGAGCGAAUUCUAUAUUACUCCAUUACUUUCAGAAGGGUCAGCAGGGCUGACCUUGCUUCACACUGAGGUGAGUUUGAUGCUAAAAUAUUCUUGAGAGAGCGUGUUUUCUUUUCAGGUAGUGCUACAAAUAUAAAAACAAUUGCUGUUUUAAAAGUGCCUGUAGUGGUAUAGUAGAAACCUCCCUCUUGCUAUGAACAGAUCUGCUGUUCUUUAGAGGGCAGCAGGCUAUUAUGCAAGUAGAACUUUUCAGUGUUAGCACUUCGGUCUACUCUUGCACUCUUCAGGAUUGCUGCAAUGACUUUAUUUGCAUUUGCUUCAUUAACCAUCUGGGCUAUCACCUCACGGCAUUCAGACACUUAAUACCACUGAGGUAAUACUCAGGAAUGUAAAGACCACAGGCAUGUGGACAAGUUACCUUCAGUUCCUUUUGGAGGUUUCAUUUCUAUUGCCAUUUUGUUAAGUAAAGGAGAAUUGUUUCUUUGGAUUGAUUCAUUUCUGAAAUGAUCUCAAACUAUUGAUAUUGUAAUUACAUAUUCUAUUUCAGUAAUCUCUUCUGCUUUGCCGUGGUACAUUAAUUAAUGUCCUACUGUUUCACGUGAACAUCUCUAACAAGACUGCAGUGAAAAACGGUGUGCUAUGUGGUUAAAAAAAUUAAUACCAAGUGACCUGAGUACUCUGAAGUAAAUCAUAUGACAAAGGAGAUGGGCUUAAGUGGUGAGAAAGUGUGUUCAUUCUUGUGAGAAUACAAGAUCUGAACCAAAUGUCAUGUGAAUUUUGUGGAACUUUAAGAGAAUUUAACUAAAGUUCCAAAGGUGAUGAUUGCUCCUUAUCUCUGAAAUGUACUCUCUAAUCCUUAAAAUCUCCAUAUUCUGGAAACCAAAGAUAUGAUUAUUUUCAGCGUUGAAUUCAAGCUUCUGUUGCUAUCUCAGUACUUUAUUAGUAAGCUGAAUACUGUUAUCAGAGAUCUAUAAUUGAAUAUACAUUUUACAUCUUGUAAAUAAUAUGAGCUUCAAAAGUAUAUUUGGUGACAUUAAAGUCAAAUGAUGGCUUAUUCUAAAAAAUGUUCAAGUCCUUAAAUCCUGUGCAGCUUAGCUCAGGGAAAGAUACCUGGAAACAUUGCUUCCGAACACAGUUCUUGUGGUAAGACAGUUGCAUAGAAUAAAUUUUGCUAAUUUCAACGUUCUCUGUAAGCCAGAUCACAUCAGGCUUUAUACCUAGUGAUCAGCACCACAUAUUUCGUCUGAAAGUGAAAUCAUCACCAGUGCAGAUGCUUGUGUACCUGGCCUUUGUGUACUUACCAAAAAGGUGGGCGGCAAAAUUCAGGUAGACUAUUCAAGCAGCCUCACAAGGUAGUCCCAGAAGAACAACCACAGACACGUGUGUUAAUUGGAGAAUAUUCUAUUCCUGUGCUGGAAAUGCUUUAUUUAUCAAUUUAACUUUAAAUAUGUAGGCAUUUGUCCUGAACUUCUCUGUUUAGCCUUUUGUAGUGGAAAGAACUACCUUCUAAUGUGGAACUUGGCUGCAAAGAUCAAUGACCAGGUUUCGACUGUUACUACAAACAAUGGAAAAAACACAAAUGGAGUUUGAGACACUGUGGCUAUGCAAAACUCUUUGUUUGUACAGAGAAGGGAUUGGCCUCUCUUCUGGAUUUUCUGACACUCAUUUUUCAGAUUCUGUUAACUUAUGACCUCUUGAAAGGAAGCAUGUGAAGAAACAGGUCAUUACAUCCUCCCUUGCCAAAGGAAAGAGUUCAGGAUUCUUGAGGGAGGACUACUGCUUGGCCUUCCUGACAACAGAACUUUGGAUCCCAUGGGAAAGGUGCAAUGAAAUUAUGACAAAAAAGGAGACUGGAAAAGAAGUUUCCAUUAUGAUCUGGUAUCAGGAAGUUCUCGGAUAGGUUUAAAAAUUAUUGAAAGAUGAGCCAGAUGUGUACUACUUAGCAAUUAUGGAUGAUGCCAGUAGAACUGGGUUUGGAGUCAUGAUGGAAAGUAGGUAAACUCCUGAAUAUGUUCCUCUUUCGUUAUUACAUGAAUGGUACACUCCAGUCAUCAAGUCCCUGUACCAAAUCACUUGCUCAGAAAGGAAAAAUGAGGAAGCUGGCUAAUGCUGAUAAGGUAACUUCGUGAAACGCAAAGAAAAAGUUAAUAGAUUUUGUGCUUCUGCUGAUAAGUCAAGGAUUUAUAAUGUUUGUUAAAAUGACUUUGAGUUCUCUUUUCAAACAAAAUGACUCUUACAUCAUUUUCUUCCACUCGCAUCCUUUCACUAAGUACAAUAAAACUAUGGUUGGUCAUCUUGCCAGGUUUUUUGCUACCUUAAGAACUGAGACAAAGGACAGAUAACCAAUGGUUUAUAAUGACAAACAUACUAGUUUCUACUCUUGUUUUCUCAUCUUCUAAACUGGAAAUGAGCAGGAACGUUGGGCAGUCAUUACUAAAGAUUUGCAUGAUUUGUUUGAAAUUAGGCUUUGUUGUAUGUCACCUUUAUUAAGCAGUGCUCUUUUUACAUGGGACUUGGUUUUACGUAUGACUCAGUAGCCCCCCCUUUUUCCCAGCUGAAUUGGUGAUGUUGAUCAUUCCACUUCAGGGUAAAAAUCUAAUCACAGUGACGCAAACAACACAGGGAGACUCUGGGCUGAAGAAAGUUCAAUUCAGAAGCCCAAGCAUCAAAUAAAAUCAAAGGAUCUAGGGAAAAUUUAGUGAUAAAAGGCAGCCAGCCAUCACCAAGUACGCAGUGAGAUUCCAGCAGAAGGUGACAGGAUUCCAGUGUCUACAUUCUUAUCAAAAUAAGACUUAGAAGAAACUUAGUGUUUUUAAGACUUGCAUAGUUGUAACGAGAGACAACGAAGAGAAACUAUGCAUUUAGAGCUACUGUAAGUCCAGUCAGUCUCUAUGGUUGUGCUGUUUCAUCUUUCCAAGUCUUACAGCAUACAUAGUGAUCUCUAGUGGGUUUUAUUUAAGGUUUAAACAGAGAUCUGCUUGGAAUGACACACUGAAACAAAAUUACACCAAAGCUAUUAUACAGUCUAUUUUAAUGAAGUUGUUUAUAUCAGCACCAUCUUCAGCUGAAACUCAUAACACUCCAUUAAAUAUUAUAUCUUCCUACGUGGUUCCAAAAGCAUGGCAGAAAUAGCAAUACCACAGUUACUGCUUCAGCUUCUUCCCAUGGAGUAAGAUCGCUGACCCAGCAGAAGGUUGUACAUAGUUCAGAGCCUUAAGUUAGGCGACUUCAACUAGGAUGUCUUAGUUAAGUGCUUUCAGUUGAUGCAGUUAGCAUUCAGUAGAAAUACAAGCAGUAUCUUACAAGAAUGAGCCUAGUGCCAUCUCUUUAGUCUGUACUUGCGUGACUGGCUUUAGUGCAGGAGCUUGUACCCUGUCUCUCUCCUCAUUUUUGCUAUGCCAGGCAAGAAUAAACAGUUUCAACAUCA